UUUCCGUAGGUGAACCUGCGGAAGGAUCAUUAAAGAGAAUAUGCCCUUCGGGGUAGAUCUCCCACCCUUUGUUUAUAUUACCUUUGUUGCUUUGGCAGGCCCGUCUUCGGACCACCGGCUUCGGCUGGCCAGUGCUUGCCAGAGGACCCAAAACUCCUAUUAUUAAUGUCGUCUGAGUACUAUAUAAUAGUUAAAACUUUCAACAACGGAUCUCUUGGCUCUC
rnacentral:misc_RNA from 1 species